rnacentral:rRNA from 1 species
CGUGCAGGCGGCCUGUUAAGUCGGACGUGAAAGCUCCCUGGCUCAACCGGGAGAGGUCGUUCGAAACUGGGAGGCUGGAGGGCAGCAGAGGAGUGUGGAAUUCCGGGUGUAGUGGUGAAAUGCGUAGAUAUCCGGAGGAACACCAGUGGCGAAGGCGGCACUCUGGGCUGUACCUGACGCUAAGACGCGAAAGCGUGGGUAGCGAACGG